GUUCGAUUUAAUUCAAAGAAAACAAAAUAUAGUACAUUCACUAGAAGGGAAAGGGAGGGGGGACAAAUGGCGAAGAGGUUGAGAAAAUAGAUAUUCAAUGUAAACUUCGGACAACAUUUCAGUCAUGAGGUUUAUAGAACACACAUAUCGAUAUUAUUUAUAAAAAAAAAACAUGCUCUCGUCAAUCUGUACUUCGUUAGGAAUAGAUUACCUUAGGUGUAUUUGACAAAACGUUUAGGAAUUUAGGUCCUAAAUGCUAUUCAAUUUCGUACUGUAUUAGGCCUAUUUAACUUUUUUGGAUUCGAGCGUAACUGAUGUCUGACGAAACGCACGUCUGGCGUGAAUACACAAUUAAUCCUAGUAUUUAUGAUGAGUUUAUUGUCAAGUUAAACAUUUAUGAGAUAGGAGUUCACUUAUAUGUAUUUAUUAUGCUUUUAUUAGACCCAUAUAAGAGAAUGAUGAUGUUUUUUGUGGGGUAAUUGAUCCCUUCAGCAUAAGUCGGAGCGUCUUCAAAAUAUUCAAAUAGAAGCUGCUAGAACUAUUACAGGAUUACGAUGUAAU
rnacentral:lncRNA from 1 species